GACGAACGCUGGCGGCGUGCUUAACACAUGCAAGUCGAACGGGAUUCAUGGAAGCUUGCUUCCGGAAGAUCUAGUGGCGAACGGGUGCGUAACACGUGAGAAACCUGCCCCAGACUUGGGAAUAACAGUCGGAAACGACUGCUAAUACCGAAUACCUUCGGACCGUCGCAUGGCGGACCGAAGAAAGCUUUUGCGGUUUGGGAGGGUCUCGCGGCCUAUCAGCUAGUUGGUGAGGUAACGGCUCACCAAGGCAUCGACGGGUAGCUGGUCUGAGAGGAUGAUCAGCCGCACUGGGACUGAGACACGGCCCAGACUCCUACGGGAGGCAGCAGUGGGGAAUAUUGCGCAAUGGCCGAAAGGCUGACGCAGCGACGCCGCGUGGGGGAUGAAGCAUUUCGGUGUGUAAACCCCUGUUGCUCGGGACGAACAAGCCGUUUCGACGGCUCUGACGGUACCGGGUGAGGAAGCACCGGCUAACUCCGUGCCAGC
rnacentral:rRNA from 1 species